GACGAACGCUGGCGGCGUGCUUAACACAUGCAAGUCGAACGGAAAGGCCCUGCUUGCCGGGUACUCGAGUGGCGAACGGGUGAGUAACACGUGGGUGAUCUGCCCUGCACUUCGGGAUAAGCCUGGGAAACUGGGUCUAAUACCGGAUAGGAGCCAUUUUUAUGGGGAGGGUGGGAAGGUUUUUCGGUGUAGGAUGAGCUCGCGGCCUAUCAGCUUGUUGGUGGGGUAAUGGCCUACCAAGGCGGCGACGGGUAGCCGGCCUGAGAGGGUGGACGGCCACAUUGGGACUGAGAUACGGCCCAGACUCCUACGGGAGGCAGCAGUGGGGAAUAUUGCACAAUGGGCGCAAGCCUGAUGCAGCGACGCCGCGUGGGGGAUGACGGCCUUCGGGUUGUAAACUCCUUUCGCUAGGGACGAAGCUUUUUGUGACGGUACCUAGAUAAGAAGCACCGGCUAACUACGUG
rnacentral:rRNA from 1 species